rnacentral:rRNA from 1 species
GAUGAACGCUGGCGGCGUGCCUAACACAUGCAAGUCGAACGAAGCGCCUUUUAAGAUUCUUCGGAUGAUUGAUCGGUGACUGAGUGGCGGACGGGUGAGUAACGCGUGGGCAACCUGCCCUGUACAGGGGGAUAACAGUUGGAAACGGCUGAUAAUACCGCAUAAGCGCACGAGAGGACAUCCUCUUGGUUGAAAAACUCCGGUGGUACAGGAUGGGCCCGCGUCUGAUUAGCUGGUUGGCAGGGUAACGGCCUACCAAGGCGACGAUCAGUAGCCGGUCUGAGAGGAUGAACGGCCACAUUGGAACUGAGACACGGUACAAACUCCUACGGGAGGCAGCAGUGGGGAAUAUUGCACAAUGGGGGAAACCCUGAUGCAGCAACGCCGCGUGAGUGAAGAAGUAUUUCGGUAUGUAAAGCUCUAUCAGCAGGGAAGAUAAUGACGGUACCUGACUAAGAAGCUCCGGCUAAAUACGUGCCAGCAGCCGCCGCGG